CUCAAUUUGAAACCUAAACCAUAACCACCCUUAACUGGCCCAAAGCUGUGGAAAACCAGCCUCCCUGGGUCCGGUUAAGAUUCACCAUUGGACACGGGCCACCUGAAUUAGUACAUGGCCAGGCUAUCUGCUAGUACUCAAAUUUGUACAAAAUAAAAGCCGGCUCAUAAACAACGUAAAAAUUUUCUUACAACAUAGGAACUUUGAAAAAAAGAAGACAAGCAAAAGCAGCAAACCAAAAUUUUCAGGUUAGGAGCAAUAGAUGAUAACACCACAGUUUUUUAAACGACAGAACCAGGUCAGAAUGCUCCACAUAUAGCAACAUUGAUCUUGAAAUGAGCACCAUCAUCAGUAAUUUUUUGCUAGAUCACGAAGGCUAGCUCAAACCAAGGCCAUAUCCACGAACAGGUCUCGUCCAGAUGCGAGUGAAACGCAAAAUUUCUGUCAAUUUUUGGUAUUCCAUAUAUUGCCACACGAAUUUCUUCGACUCAACUUCUGCUGGUCGCUAUUUUUGUGGCCAUUAAAUUAGACAUUGUGAUGAUUAAUAUGCAUCCACCAAAGACAUUAUUGGGACCCCCUUGCUGGAAAAGCUUGUACACUUGACUCGUAGCUCAUUACCCAACUCAAAGUCCCUCUUGCCAUUUGUCUCAAACCGAUACAUGGCACGAACUCCACCACCCAAAUCAAGGACCAACCCAUGUCUACGAAUUUGGUAAAUCUUGGCAGUAACCUUUGUCCCAAGUUUCAAAUUUUUUGCACUGAUAGGAGCCUCAACUUCAGCCUCGUUAUUAUUCAAGCUAUCCUCAGUAUGUGAAAAGAUAACAGAACUAGGAAAUGGUGAAUGUGAGUCAUCAUUUUUAGGUAGAUUUGUUUUUGACUUCCUAUUCCUUUUUGAAGCCUGCGAGGUUUUAGAUGUAAUAUUGGAAUCCUCGCUCAGACCAGCAGAUUUUUCCUCUUCGUCACACUCUUCAACACUUCGAAUUAGAAGCGCUGGUGAUGAUGAUGUUGAACUGACCACCCUUCUAUUCACCAGCAACUCAGCCAUAGGUUUCACUUCAUCUUGUUCAUUAGACACACUCUCAACUGAGGCCCAGACCUUGGGAGUUUCGUUCAUGGCAGGAACAGGUCCUUCAGCCACAUUAUUCGUCUUCGAUUGCCCUGGCUGAAGUAAAGUUGCUUUAAGGGAUAAUUUAAUGUUACCACGAACAUCCCGCCCUAUGCACAUCAAAGAAAGCUGCUGACCAACAGAUACUACAUCUGAAACCUUAGAGACCGGUUCAUGUGACAACUCGGAAAUAUGCAGCAGACCUUGCUGGCCACCAUUAAACUCAAUAAAGGCACCAUAUUCUUUUAUUGAAGUUACAAUGCCUUUAUAAACCCCACCAAUUUCAAUUUCGCGGCCAACCAUGAAAUCAAUCUUUUCUUGUGCCUUUUCCAUUACAAUCUGAUUCUUGGCAAUAAUAGUAAGUGUACCAUCACUAACAGAUAAUCGGGCUCCUGUUUCCUCUUCAAUUUUUGUCUUAACAGCACCAAGAGGGCCAAUUAGCUGACGAAGAACAUCAUUGCUGAACUUCAAUGUAGCUAUCCGAGGACGAUUCCUGUCAUCUUGAGUACGUGGUGCACUAAUCUCACGUUCCAUGUGAUCAAGGAUUUGAUGGCGGCCUUUACGUGCGUGUUCUAAACACUCACAAAUGAUAUCUAAAGGAAUUCCAGCAGGUUUUAUAUCUAACUGAAUUGCGGUAACUCCAUUACGUGUUCCAGCUAUUUUGAAGUCCAUGUCCCCCAAAUGAUCUUCGAGGCCCAAAAUAUCAGUCAGUAUACGAUAGUCCUUGAUUUCACCAGUUGAUGGAUCAACUUCGCUAACAAGACCCACAGAAACACCAGCAACAUGUUCUUGUAAUGGAAUGCCAGCAUCCAUCAAAGCCAUACUACCUCCACAAACAGUUGCCAUUGAUGUUGAACCAUCAGAUGCCAUGACUUCAGAAUUGACACGAACAGUAUAAGGAAAAUCAUCCUCAGGAGGCAAAACAGCAAGCAGAGCCUUCUCAGCAAGGGUUCCAUGCCCAACUUCACGCCUGUUCAAGCCAACUCGUUUGCCAACUUCAUUAAUUGAAAAUGGUGGAAAACUAUAGUGCAGCAUGAAGCGCUUUGUUGGAGGUCCAACCAAGGAUUCCAUGCGUUGCGCAUCUCCAGGUCCUCCAAGUGUCACAGCACAGAGAACCUGAGUAUCUCCACGAGAAAAAAGUGAAGAUCCAUGCAAUAGAGGUAAAUUACCAGCCUCACAAUACAAAGGCCUGACUUCAUCAAGACGUCUUCCAUCAACUCUAAAUCCUUCUGAAAUAAUCCUCCUGCGAACAACCUGUUUCCUUACUGUGUCUAUUGCCUUUGGAAGAACAUUUAAGCUUUCUUCAUCACAGUCUUCUUCAAGUUUUCUUCUUACAUCUUGUGUAAUGUUAUCUAAAGCCUCUCCACGUUCAAACUUGCCAUACGAGGAAUCCGUAAAAACAGAUUCAAUUUGUGUUUCUGCUAAGUUUCUAACUUCUUCUAAUGUUUUUUCAGACACCAUAGACAGUUUGUAAUCCUUCUUAUUCUUCCCAGCUCUGGCAGCAAGUCUGAUUUGUGGUUCAAGAUACUUAACAGCCUCUGGAUGUGCCAGUCUUAACCCUGCUUCCAGAUCUUUCUCCAAUAUCUCCCGAGCUUGCACAUCUAUCAUUAAGGUUUUGUCCUUUGUACAGGCAUAGACUAAGUUCAGAUCACUUAAGCUGAGCUCAUCCAUGGUUGGAUUAACAAUAAAUUGUCCACAAAUCCUUCCUAUGCGUAUCACUCCGAUAGGCCCGCCCCAAGGAAUAUCUGAUAACAUCAGAGCAACAGAUGUUGCAUUAGCUGCCAUUACAUCUGGAUCUUGUUUCCCAUCUGAAGAAAGAACACUUGCCAUUACCUGAACUUCAUGGUAAAAUCCAACAGGAAAGAGUGGUCGAAUAGGUCGGUCAAUGAUGCGACCACACAAAAGCUCACGUUCUUUUGGAGAACCUUCCCUUCGCAUGAAUGUAUUAGGAAUUACACAUCGGGCAAAUUGUUUCUCUUGGUAAUCAACAGUGAGAGGUAAAAAGUCUCGAACAGAGUCGCCUUUAGCAGCAGUGACUGUGGCUAGCACUUUGGUUCCUUCCAUGCCUAAAACGACAGAGCCAUUAGCAAAUCGAGCGAUUUUCCCCGUUUCUAGGGUAAUAAGGCGCGAUCCAAUCUCGAAUUCUUCUUUGAAAGUCUCAAGGACCUUGGUUCCGGCGAGAGGUGGGUCCGGAUCGGAGGGUGCAAAGCCGAGGCGGCCGCUGCAGAUGGUGCGGAAGCCGAGCGCACGCCAUGUGAGGAAAUGAGGAAGAGAAUUGAGGAGAGGAUUGGCUCUGCUUGCUAAUGAGGACAUUGACAACUUGAGAGAAAGAGCUGAGAGAGGAGAGAGAGAGGAGGGUUUAGGGUUUAAGGGGUUUUAGUGUGAGAGAGUUG
rnacentral:misc_RNA from 1 species